UACGUAGGGGGCAAGCGUUGUCCGGAUUUAUUGGGCGUAAAGAGCGUGUAGGCGGUCUGGUAGGUCCGUUGUGAAAACUCGAGGCUCAACCUCGAGACGCCGAUGGAAACCAUCAGACUAGAGUCCGGAAGAGGAGAGUGGAAUUCCUGUUGUAGCGGUGAAAUGCGCAGAUAUCAGGAAGAACACCCGUGGCUAAGGCGGCUCUCUAGUACGGUACUGACGCUGAGACGCGAAAGCGUGGGGAGCGAACAGG
rnacentral:rRNA from 1 species